rnacentral:lncRNA from 1 species
AAGGAUGUGGAGAAGAAGGAACUCUUGUGCACUGUUGGCAGGAGUGUAAAUUGGUGCGGCCACUAUGGAAAACAGGAGGGAAGAAUCCUGUGCCUUACCAGGGAGCCACGGACACCUAUGCAAGUAUUGCUAUCGAGUCCUAGACAUGGACUUGCUGGUCAAAGUGUCAGUCCCUUACCAAAAAAUUGUACUAAUCCACAUUUCCAUCAACGAGGUUCAGUCCUUGAUAGUUAUCCAUAACUACCACAUGAUCCAGCAUUUCGAACAUCCAAAGAAAACAAAAAGCAAAACUUGAGAAAAUAUAUGCACUCCUAUGUUCACCGCAGCAUUGUUUACAACAGCCAAGACAUGGAAACAACCUAAGUCUCCAUCCAUGGAUGAAAUGGUAAAGGAACUGUGAUCGGUAGACACACACACACACACAAACACACACACACACAAACACACAUAAUGGAAUAUUAUUCAAGGGCAUUAUGCAUGCAAGGGCAUCCCAACUGCCACUAAAGUAUUUUAGAGAAUAACUCCUUGAAGAAAGCAAAAUAAUUGUCUUUCAUUUGUGAGUAUGAGGUGUCACAAUUUGUCUUAACUACCAUCACAUCAUUCUCACAUAGGCAGGUCAGGGCUGACAGCCAUCACAUUUACCUUCUUGUCCCCCCCCCUGCCCCCUUAUCAGAGCCUUUACACCAGGACAAUAGACAUACUUCAAGCUUCCAGGGUAUACUGCACUCAUUCUCACCCCUGUGCCCUUCCCUCUGUUCUGUCGCUCUGGAUACUCCCUUUCCUGACACUCCAGGCCACAGGUCUUCUUUUCUUUCAAGACUAAGCUCAAGCUUCACCUUCUCCUUUCUUGCCAAGAUGGUGCAGCCCAAGAAGCGCCUCAUGGUACAGCUCCAUCUCUUCCUCCCACUGUGGUAUCUUGCCUCCAAGAUACUCCCCAAGGGUCCCCACCUCCUGAUACCCAAGCCAUACGGAGUGCCUCAUCCCCUUUCAUAUUCAAUCAGGGAUGUACAGCCCCCCUCUCAUAUUGAAUCAAAGUUGAGCUGUGAGACUGAUGGCAUAUAGCAGAAGUAAUUGAUGGUAUUUGGCUUCGGAGGCCACAUCAUAAAGGUCACUGCAGUUUCUGGCUUGGCAUCUUGAACCACUUGCUCUGGGGAAAGCUAGCCAUCGCAUUGUGAGGACACUCAAGUAGUACCAUGGAGAUGUCCACGUGAAGAAAAACAAUCUUGCUGGGGUGAGAGUCCUUAGAAAUGCAUCCUCCAGCCUCAGUCAAGCCUUCAGAUGACUGCAGUUCUGGCCAAUGUUUUGUCUCUAAAAAUCAUGAUUGACCCUGAAUAGAACCACCCAGCCAAGAGGAUCCUGGAUUCUCAACCCUUCAAAACAAAACAAAAAAAAAACUGUGAGAGAUAACUAAGGUCUAUCAUGGUUUCAAGCCACUAAGUGUUGGGUGAUUAGUUACAAAGGAGGAGAUAACUAACAUACCAAUUAAAAGCUAAGUUCUCUAAGAACAGGAAUCAUGCUCCCUCCAACCAUCCCACCUUGUACCUUCUGCAGUGCCUAGCAGGAGCUCCAAAGAUGUUCAAAGAGUCGAGGAACUGCUUUAAACUGACAGUUACGAAAUCCUGAAUGUGCUGGGCAUUUUCUUAACCACUUUGCAUUUGCUAUUUAAUCCUAGGGUACAGGUACUUUCACCAUAUGAACAAUGAGAGAUCGGAAGCACAAAGAAUUAAGCAACUUGCUCAAGGUCACACAGGUGGCAAGUAAUGGAGCCAGGAUUUGAAUCCAGGAACUUGACUUCAACUUACCAGCCUUAAUCACCAUGCAAACUUAUUUUCUGAUAAUUUGCUGCUUAGGGAAGAGGACCUAUCUAAUCCAUCUCUGUAUCCCUCAUGGGACACAAUGGCUCAACCAUAAAUAUGGAGUAAAUGAAUGAAUGAAUAAGUGAAUGAGCAUGACCAGUCAUCCUUUCCACACUUGAUUACAAAUCCUUUCAAUAACUGACACACAAAUUAUUUCUUAGAGUCUAGAUAUCAACCAGUUUGCGUGUUCCUUUUGGAUUAAAAUCAAAUUCUAAAUAUAAAUUGAAUUUCAUUCUUGAAAGGCACUGUGAAAUUUCACUGAACAACUGCUGUUAUCCAAAUUCUCUCUGAUUUCUCUCCCACCUCCUGCUCCCACUGUUCUGCUGGCUUUGUCUCCUCCACCAGCAACCACCCCCACAUCAGAGGUUUGGGGAUACACUGGGAUGCCAAGGACUGGUGCCCUAUGCAGACUCGUUCUUCCCAGGUUCCCUUCCUCACCUCCACCUUUCCUUCUGCCGCCCGUCCAGCUGAGAAUCACCAGGCCAUGGGUCUGACUGUGCCGCCUGCUCCCCUACAGGAAGACUCAGGCCUGUUUCUUAUUUCUGCAGCCCCAGACCUCACUCCUAGGAGGACCAAGAGUGAAUCAUGCUUUCACCAUUUAUUGUAGGUCUGCUCCAGGCCAGGCUGUGUGAGACACAUGUCUUGGGGAGUUCACAGACCAAGGAGAAGAGUGCAAGAGAUCUAGACAGCUAAAAAGCAGUGUGGGGGAGGUGUAAGGAAGAGAGCAGGUCCCAGAACACUUGGAGGGUCUGGGGACACCUUGAACCAUGGGCCUUGCCCUCUGCCCUGAGAACUUAAGAACCAGUCGGACUUACUUGGCAAAGGCCUAAUUGUGGAGAUUUUCUCCUUGGGGCACAGAAUAGUGUAGUAGUAAGGGAAAUAUGUUAUUGGACAGAUUUAAUUAGUACAUACCCUUCACAUGCUUUCACUGCAUUUCAAUACCAAUACCUGCUAGAACUGAAAGUUCAUUUUGUAAUUAAUUCAUUAGAACUGUGGAUAGGUGCGCACGGCAAAACACUGAAACAAUACAAACAGACAGGCAAU